rnacentral:misc_RNA from 1 species
AACGGUCUAUACCUGCGGUACCUGCGGAGGGAUCAUUACAGUAUAUUGAAUUCUUAUUCAUAUCAACCCACACUGUGUACCUUUUAUUUGUUGCUUCCAUGGGACAUGGCUCUGCCACGUCGGCCUCUGGGCUGAUGAGUUCCCAUGGAAGGAAACCCAUAACUCUUUUUAUUUUUGACAUCUGUCUGAAUAGUUUUUAUAAACGUUAAAACUUUCAGCAAUGGAUCUCUAGAUCGGAAG